rnacentral:rRNA from 1 species
AGUGAACGCUGACGGUAGGCCUAACACAUGCAAGUCGAACGGCAGCACAGGAGAGCUUGCUCUCUGGGUGGCGAGUGGCGGACGGGUGAGGAAUACAUCGGAAUCUACUCUGUCGUGGGGGAUAACGUAGGGAAACUUACGCUAAUACCGCAUACGACCUACGGGUGAAAGCAGGGGAUCUUCGGACCUUGCGCGAUUGAAUGAGCCGAUGUCGGAUUAGCUAGUUGGCGGGGUAAAGGCCCACCAAGGCGACGAUCCGUAGCUGGUCUGAGAGGAUGAUCAGCCACACUGGAACUGAGACACGGUCCAGACUCCUACGGGAGGGAGCAGUGGGGAAUAUUGGACAAUGGGCGCAAGCCUGAUCCAGCCAUACCGCGUGGGUGAAGAAGGCCUUCGGGUUGUAAAGCCCUUUUGUUGGGAAAGAAAUCCAGCUGGCUAAUACCCGGUUGGGAUGACGGUACCCAAAGAGUAAGCACCGGCUAACUUCGUGCCAGCCGCCGUAAGAC